CCUAACACAUGCAAGUCGAGCGAACCCCUCGGGGUUAGCGGCGGACGGGUUAGUAACGCGUGGGAACGUGCCCAAAGGUACGGAAUAGCAUCGGGAAACUGGUGGUAAUACCGUAUGUGCCCUUCGGGGGAAAGAAUUUCGCCUUUGGAUCGGCCCGCGUAAGAUUAGGUAGUUGGUGAGGUAACGGCUCACCAAGCCUACGAUCUUUAUCUGGUUUGAGAGGAUGAUCAGAAACACUGGGACUGAGACACGGCCCAGACUCCUACGGGAGGCAGCAGUGGGGAAUCUUGGACAAUGGGCGCAAGCCUGAUCCAGCCAUGCCGCGUGAGUGAAGAAGGCCUUAGGGUUGUAAAGCUCUUUCAGGGGUGAGGAUUAUGACAGCAACCCCAGAAGAAGCACCGGCUAACUUCGUGCCAGCAGCCGCGGUAAUACGAAGGGUGCAAGCGUUGUUCGGAAUCACUGGGCGUAAAGGGCGUGUAGGCGGAUGGACAAGUUAGAGGUGAAAGCCCCGGGCUCAACCUGGGAACUGCCUUUAAAACUGUUCAUCUAGAAUCCGGGAGGGGAGUGUGGAAUUCCUAGUGUAGAGGUGAAAUUCGUAGAUAUUAGGAAGAACACCGGUGGCGAAGGCGACACUCUGGACCGGUAUUGACGC
rnacentral:rRNA from 1 species